ACUCCCACCAGCCUUGCAGCCUAAAGAGGGAUUUAUCUCUGCCUCUUGUUAUCUCAUUGAAUGAUGAAAACCUUGCUCGCCGUCAUCUAUCUUCAGCCUCCUGUAACAAGACGCUGACUGCAACCCCCGUGGCGCGUCUGGGCGAGGGACGGGGCUGGUGACACCUCGUGUCCUGAUGGACGUCCCUUGUAGGCACCUGCCACAGCUUCUGGGAGGCGUGGUGUCACCCUGGGAUAAAAUGUGGCCGCUCUGCUGGUAUCGGGGUGCCAGGCUCUCUGCUUCAACCUUUCACAUCUAACUUUUAGUGGAAGAUGAAGGUUUGGUGCCAGGAUGUUCCUCACAAAGCAGAUUUAUUUUGAGGAAAAGAAAGGAAAAGAAAUGGCCAAAUGGUCAUGCUGGCUUGCAGGUCACAUCAUGUGGUGUUUCAGAAUUUGGGUUCACUGGCCAAAAUGUGUUUGUUUUUUUUUUGAGGGGGGGAGAUUUAUCAAGAAGCCACUAGCAUGCAGUAUUUAACUUGCUAAAUCUAAGCAGAAGCAAGGAAUGUCACAUUGCCCAUGAGGCAGGAUGCACGUGCCUGAUUCUGACCAAAGCUCUCCCGUGGAUGUGUGUGUUUCAGAGCAGGUUGUCCUGCACCAACACCAUGUCUUUUCUUUUCAUUGAACACCAGGGAGGUAGCCAGAUGCUUCUCAGUGAUCCAGAGGACCGAAGGAGUUUUCACUCCUCUCCUACACUCAACUCCUGAUUGCAGGAGCAUAAAUAGUCCAUGGCAAUGUGAUGCGAGAGAGCUCUGCUUAUCCUACCUUCUGCAGGGAUUUGCUGGAGGCAUUUCCUCCCGAGUCUGUGGAUGAGGAGUAACGUUUGUAAAGAAGUUUCUUUGCAUUACUUCUGACAAUAACUUCUGACAAUAAAUAAAAUUUUUUUCUCAGCUUCCUCCCCUCACCCCCAAAUAUCUUCAUUUCUGUUCUCACUGGCUCCAGCCCUUUCCCUGUGAAACUCAUAACUUACCAUGUUGGCAUCAAAGUGGAAGGAGGAGGAAUUUGAAACUCAUGAGAAGGAAAAAAAAAAGCACCUUAAUUUUAAGUAAUUGAAUUACUUCUCUCUACAAGCCUUUUCUUUUGCUUUGUUAAGAUCUACAGAUAUAUGGGAAAAAAACAAAAACAAAAACAAACUCAACAUAUAGUAUGAGGCUAGAUAGUUAAGUCUUUCUCACAAUUUUAAAUAGAAUAAAAUACUCUCGUAGUGGAUAGAUGUUCCUUAAUGCAUUGAGAUACAUUCCUUCACACCCGGUUUAACUAUUUUGAGGUGGACACUUCUGGUAAGGUGAAUGAAAAAAAAAGAUUUGGGGGAAAACGUCAUGAAUGCCUAAGAAUAAACCCAAUACUCUUGGAAUAUUUACAAAUGCGUUGUGGUAUUACUGGUGAUGGUGCAUUUUGCAGAAACUGAGUGAAGGAGGAAUUGUUUUGACCAGCCUAUUGUAAGCCUGGCAGGUCAUUUUCUAUUCUGUGUGUGGCUUUCGCAGGAGAGUGCAAGCGAUGAAGGGCAUUAGCUAAAUAAGAGAUGAUUUAGUGGUGAUGGCACUGUUGGUCCGCGUAUCCCACAGCUGCUAAAUUUCAAUAUAAACUCCAUAACUCUGGAUGCAGAAAGAAGCGAACAUGCACAAGAGACUGUUUCUGAAUAUAUUUUUCCCCCUCUCGCCAAUAAAAGGCGCACAUAAUGGCAUAUUUUUCAAAGUGCAAAGCACUUUACAUUGCAAAUAGUUGCAUUAAAUUUACAUUUCAUGGGUGAGCGGCUGGAGCUGCCUCUUGCCACAUCCUCGCCGGUGACAGUGCCGCAGUUGUACAUGAUCUACUGCCCGGCUGGGCCCGGGCUAACUGGGCUGGUGGCUGGGGGCAGAGCCCUGCCAGGGCAGCACAGAGCCUGCCGCAGGUACCGGCUGCUUCCUCUGGAAAGGUCAAUGCGCUCGCCGGCCCUGUUUUCUCCAGAGAUAAUCCAUGCACUGCAAACGCUGCUGCUGACAGUUAUGGCCACCAAGGAAAAGUCAUUUUCUGCCUCUCCUCCUUGGGACCUGCAGGAGGGAAUGUGACCAUGUGAGCGGCUGCCUCCCACUGUGGACAGCCUUUUGGUUCGUGUUGGUAAAAGUAAUUUUAAUUAGGUCCUUUGGGAGCUCACAUGUUGGCACCACUUUGGCACCCCACCAGCCACGGACAGCCUUUCCGUCCAGCUCCAAAAAGCACAAAGAGGUAAAAAUGCAGUGACCACAGCAAAAAGAGCCGUGAGGGGAAGGGCCAGCUGGCACGCUGCAGGGCGGGUGGCAGCAGCAGCCCGGCGCUCCUUCGCUGCCUCUUGCCGUGAUAAGAGCAUUUUUUUUCCUUCUCUUAUCUGCAACAGCCUUGAUGACUUUUCUGGUCAGUCCCUAUCGCGACCUUUCCGCUCUGCACAUUGUUUUAUUUCUUGUCUCAAGGUCCAUUGUUUGUCGUUUAUCUGUGUUGGUUUUGGCACCUGUUAGCCCGGGGAAUGUGCCUGAGUCACUCUUUACCUGGCGGGGAUUGCUCCUCGUUAGUUGCUGUGCUGCCAUUUACCCCCCGGCAGCCUCCGAGCCCUGCCCUGUGUGAGAGGCCAGCCUGAGCCUCAGCUGCCUGCUGGAAAAUGGAGCUGACACGAGCAGCAGCCCUGAGGCCUGAAGGGCUCGGGGAGGGCAGAGAGAUGCCUGCACCUCUGCCAGGUUCCUCAGCCUGAGAUCAGCAUUAUCAGGGACACCCCUACAUAACGACAGCGUUAUUCCCUGUGGCAUUUAUCCUGCUGCCACCCCCUGCGCUCACACUCACGGACCAGGCCUCGUCGCAGCAGCAGCUGCUGGUGCCAAGACGUGGCUGCAGCCCUGCACACGCCUUUUGCUAUUUGCCCUUUCGCACGUGUUUGCAGGCUCCUGGGAGGAGAGAUCUCCUGGUUUAUGGCUCUUCCUCUCCUCACUGUGCUGUGUGCUGGCUGCUGCGCUCCUGUUCCCCGUGAGCAGCGAUGCAGUGGCACCGAGCCAUGCCACAUCUCGGGGCCUGCCUCCUGCUCUCCGUACUGCGCUUUCCAGAGUGAUCCCUCUCUGAAAAACCUCAAAUAGCUCCUUCCUAAACUAGUCCAGCACAUAAAGCAUUUAACUGUUGUGCAAUUUCCUGGCGAGCCAGCAGGUCCCCUAAUAAACGCGCCAGCGUUGCUCAGGCAUCCUCAGGCAUCCUCGUGCAUUCCCGUAAGCAAGCAGGGAAGGCGAUCGCUGCCUUCACCCCCGGGCAGGGAUCUGUGGCACCCACAGCCCCCAGACCCAUCCCAGGUGGGGCUGUCUGACUUCAGCCUCCACCACCCUGACACAACCAGCUUUUCUCCUCCUUGGAGCCAUUUGCCCACAAGCCUGGUGCUGGUUUGUGGCCUGAAAUCGGAACCAAAACCGGCUGGGGACCGAGCUGAGCCUUGGGCAGGGAUGAUGUGAUAAAGCCUGCUGGUGCUGUAACCCAGUGCCCUGGUUUUGGGGCCAGACUUGGCCCUCACACGUUCCCCUGCUAUAUUUUUUGGGCAGCACUUACUGUGGGAUGACCAAUAAAAAAGAAAAGAAAUAGGGUUUAAGAGCACAUUGCUUCCCAGGUACCAGUGGCAAGGAACACCUUUUGGGGCAGUUCCUUUGGAGGGGAGCAAAAGGGGGGCCCUGUGGCCUACAGGUGGGGUCAGGACACUGAGGGAAAACAGCUCCAGGUUCCCCGCGAGAAGCACGAGCCCUGCUGCCGUCCCGUGGGUUGCCCGCCCAAUGUGCCGGCCAGCUGAUGGAGGCGGCCCGGCCGCGCCGCGUUUGAACCGGGAGGGAGGCAGGGCCGGGAUUAAGCUUCAAAGGCUUCGGACCAGUUGCCAAGAAUUUCAAAGUGGCAACGCAAGGCUGAAGCGAUCCAGAUUCGGGCUGUGUGUUAAGGCUUGACGCCGUGUGUUUAGAGCCGUCGGGGCUUCACUGCUGCGGUGGGGAGGCUGGAGCAGGCCUCCGGCCGCUCGGUCGGCUCUCUGGGAAGGGGACAGGGCCGGGGACAUCAGCGGGCAGGAGGGGGCUCACAGGGCGUGCUGUGGGGUGGCACCAGGAUCCCACAGCCUCUGUGUCCCCCAGUAAAUGAGGAGCAAAGGACACGGCCUAUGUGCAUGGGGCCCUGAGCAAAGUCUGCCGAGGCUGAGGGUUUCUGCUGGCUCCUGGACCUUGGACCCUGCCCGCCAGCACACAGCCAGGCACGGCGGGGAGGCACCGUGCCCCACGUGUAACGGGGGGAGCCCGCGGGGUUCUCCCAUCCACAGCACCUGGCGUUGUGUCUGUUGUUGUUUAUCACUAUUGCUUUUUUUUUUGUACUGAAACACUUAAUUAUGUUAAUAUGUUUUUAUUGGUCAGGCCAGAUACAAGCACAUGGAGAACCAUUGUUUGCGUUUCUGAAGGAGAACUGCUCGCAGGCCUUUCACAGCCUCUGAAAAGGCUUCUUGGAUCUGACCAAGACGUGCGGUUGUGGCAGGAUGGUUUUUGUGUUGUGUAACCUGUACCAAGCCAAGGAAGGAGCACGGCCAUCAUGCUGCUUCCACAGAACAUGCAAUGGAAGGAUUUCAUUCCCCUGGGACUUCUGGCCUGAAAAUCAAUUCCUUUGGCUUGCCUGUCCUAGAGCCAUUUGCUACAAACAGCUUUCAGUGUUGAAGGUUUUGCUGGGACACUCUAUCUCAUGAAGAAAUCAAUUGCUUUUUUGUCUGAAAUCAGAAGACAACUAGUUAGCCGUACUUCCUUAUUUUUGUUUAAGUGGCCAUCACAUCCUAAUUAUAGCUUCUCUUUUUUUUUAACUACUGUACUCAAUUUACAGCCUAAUUGCCCUUACCUUGUUUGUUUAAUGAAGCCUGUAUAAUGA